ACAAUAUAUUUUUAUCAAACGAUCAUUUUGCAAGCAUCUGCCAACGUGUUGAGGACCGGUUUAACUUUCGCAGGCGUUCCCGACAUGUUAACAUCUC